rnacentral:tRNA from 1 species
AGAGUGGUCGAUUAGUGGUCUAUAUCGUUGGUUUGCUAAACCAAUUUACCAUUAGGUAACGUGGGUUCGAAUCCCAUCCAUUCUA